rnacentral:lncRNA from 1 species
CCUUUGUUACUUUCUUUCUUGCUUGCUUUCUUGCAAUCUUUCUUUCUUCCUUUCUUCCUAGCUUUCUUUCUGUCUUUCUUUCUGGAUUUCUUUCUUCCUUUCUGUCUUUCUUUCUUCCUUCCUUCCUUCCUUCCUUUCUUUCUUUCUUUCUUUCUUUCUUUCUUUCUUUCUUUCUUUCUUUCUUUCUUUCUUUCUUUCUUUCUUUCUUUCUUUCUUUCUUUCUCUCUUUCUUUCUUUCUUUCUUUCUUUCUUUCUUUCUUUCUUUCUUUCUUUCUUUCUUUCUCUUCCAUCUAUCCAUCCAUCA